GAGAAUUAAAAUGUAGAGAAAUGAAAUUGUACCAGGAAUGAAAAUAAAAAUAUCAAAGAAUUGAAAUUGCUUUUUUAAAACUUGCAGUACUUAACGAGAGCGAAGGAUUUAAUUCUUUAUUGAUGGGGACUUACAUGUCACAGCGGCCAGG